rnacentral:rRNA from 1 species
CAGUCGCCACGGUAAUACGGAGGAUCCAAGCGUUAUCCGGAAUCAUUGGGUUUAAAGGGUCCGUAGGCGGUCUUGUAAGUCAGUGGUGAAAGCCCAUCGCUCAACGGUGGAACGGCCAUUGAUACUGCAGGACUUGAAUUAUUGGGAAGUAACUAGAAUAUGUAGUGUAGCGGUGAAAUGCUUAGAGAUUACAUGGAAUACCAAUUGCGAAGGCAGGUUACUACCAAUUGAUUGACGCUGAUGGACGAAAGCGUGGGUAGCAAACAGGAUUAGAUACCCCUGUAGUCCCUGUCUCUUAUAC